rnacentral:rRNA from 1 species
CGUGUAGGCGGUGCGGUAAGUUGGGCGUGAAAUCCCCGAGCUUAACUCGGGUGGGCCGUUCAAGACUGCCGUACUAGGGUGCGGGAGAGGGAAGUGGAAUUUCCGGUGUAGCGGUGAAAUGCGUAGAUAUCGGGAGGAACACCUGCGGCGAAGGCGGCUUCCUGGACCGUAACCGACGCUGAGGCGCGAAAGCUAGGGGAGCAAACAGGAUUAGAUACCCUGGUAGUCCUAGCCCUAAACGAUGAGCACUGGGUGUGGCCCCUCACGAGGCCGUGCCGAAGCUAACGCAUUAAGUGCUCCGCCGUGGGGAGUACGGUCGCAAGGCUGAA